rnacentral:snoRNA from 1 species
GUGCUGCAAUUCCCAUCAGAUCUGAACACUGGUCUCGGCAGUCAUAAAAGGAGAACUAGCAAUACUGAAGCUGGCCUCACUGGGCUCAUAGUCUGCCAUGUAGCACAUGCCCUAGCAUCAAGCAAUG